UACGUAGGGUGCAAGCGUUAAUCGGAAUUACUGGGCGUAAAGCGUGCGCAGGCGGUUCGUUAAGUUCGAUGUGAAAGCCCCGGGCUCAACCUGGGAACUGCAUUGGAAACUGGCGGGCUUGAGUGUGGCAGAGGGGGGUGGAAUUCCACGUGUAGCAGUGAAAUGCGUAGAGAUGUGGAGGAACACCGAUGGCGAAGGCAGCCCCCUGGGCUAACACUGACGCUCAGGCACGAAAGCGUGGGGAGCAAACAGG
rnacentral:rRNA from 1 species